rnacentral:lncRNA from 1 species
UAAUUUUUUUCUUUUUUAAAACCCCUUUACGGAAAUUAUGCCUCCGACACUGCGACCACAGUUCCUACAUCAAAUUUUCCUAGUUUUCUUAUUUUGCAUCCAAAUCAAUCUUUUGAGAUUAUGAGUGUAGUAAGCGGAUCCGUCAACAAAAGGUUCACCCUAAAACAAUUAUCUAAGGACUAUUGAGAGUAUAUUAAAGCAAAUGAUUGUAUUUUUCAAUCAUUUUUACUUACUCCUAUCAAUCUAAAAUCAAUCCAUAAACCUUUAAUUCAACCAUUAUAUAACACCAAAUGGCACAAAUUCCAAAAAUCUAUCUAAACACAUAAAUACAUAAUAUGCACACGUGAAAGCAAUCAAACAAACGGACAUCACAUAUAAAACACCAUGGUUCAGAUACUAAAAAAAAUUCUGUGAAGACUAAUCCCAAUAUAUCAGAAUAUUAAAAAAUUACCCAAACAUUUGGAGUUGCGUACCCUUUAAGGACUCUAGCUAGUGGGGAACACGAUCGAUGACCUCAUCAGCAAAGUAAUAGCAAGACCCACAAACAGAUUAAUCAGUCGUCUGAUUCUCCGGUAGCAGAAGCCGUCGCCGAUCACCGCUGUAAACUUAUUCUGUCGCCAUAGCUACAAUCUAAGAUAGUAUUUUGUCAGCUUACUAAGGAGAAUGUAUUUUUGGAAAAAGUAAAAAUAAAAUAGGAUAGAGCUCGCAUCUGACAACUGGUCUCUUCACUUCUUCCUGGCUUCACACAUGUCGUCAUUCUUAUCCAUUUGAAGCUCCACUUCCCACACAGAGUCACACAGUCCAAUCUAUCCUAAACAGGCAUACGACAAAGUCUUGAGUAACGCGAUCUUUUAGCUAAAGUUUCUUAUAUGCUCCUUAGAAUAUAUUUAAUAACCUUAAUUAUAGAAAAUUUUAUCUAAAUUAUAUUCUUCUGCCAUUAAGGACUUGUUUGGAAAGCCUCUUUAUAAUUGAAUUUGG